rnacentral:rRNA from 1 species
AUUGAACGCUGGCGGCAUGCCUUACACAUGCAGGUCGAACGGCAGCACGGGAGCAAUCCUGGUGGCAAGUGGCGAACGGGUGAGUAAUAUAUCGGAACGUGCCCAGUAGUGGGGGAUAACUGCUCGAAAGAGCAGCUAAUACCGCAUACGACCUGAGGGUGAAAGGGGGGGAUCGCAAGACCUCUCGCUAUUGGAGCGGCCGAUAUCAGAUUAGCUAGUUGGUGGGGUAAAGGCCUACCAAGGCAACGAUCUGUAGUUGGUCUGAGAGGACGACCAGCCACACUGGGACUGAGACACGGCCCAGACUCCUACGGGAGGCAGCAGUGGGGAAUUUUGGACAAUGGGCGCAAGCCUGAUCCAGCAAUGCCGCGUGCAGGAAGAAGGCCUUCGGGUUGUAAACUGCUUUUGUCAGGGAAGAAAUCCUCUAGGUUAAUACCCUUGGGGGGAUGACGGUACCUGAAGAAUAAGCACCGGCUAACUACGUGCCAGCCGCCGCCGUAACAC